rnacentral:rRNA from 1 species
GACGGGGGGGGCAAGUGUUCUUCGGAAUUACUGGGCGUAAAGGGCUCGUAGGCGGCCAACUAAGUCAGACGUGAAAUCCCUCGGCUUAACCGGGGAACUGCGUCUGAUACUGGAUGGCUUGAGUUUGGGAGAGGGAUGCGGAAUUCCAGGUGUAGCGGUGAAAUGCGUAGAUAUCUGGAGGAACACCGGUGGCGAAGGCGGCAUCCUGGACCAACACUGACGCUGAGUGAGCGAAAGCCAGGGGAGCAAACCGG